rnacentral:RNase_P_RNA from 1 species
GAAAGCAGUCAAGACAAUCGCGGCUGUUUGUAUAAGGCAGCUGAGGAAAGUCCGGGCUCCAUAGGGCAGUGUGCUGGAUAACGUCCAGCGGGGGAAACCCUAGGGACAGUGCCAUAGAAAAGAAGACCGCCUGGGGCGUUGCCAUCAGGUAAGGGUGGAACGGUGCGGUAAGAGCGCACCAGCAGUCAGGUGACUGGCUGGCUUGGUAAACCCCACACGGAGCAAGACCAAAUAGGGAAGGGAUGAUGCGGCCCGCGGAACCUUCCGGGUUGAGUCGCUCGAGCCUGCAGGCAACUGCAGGUCCAGAUAAAUGAUUGUCGCCGCUUUUGCGGAACAGAACUCGGCUUACUGACUGCUUGCACUC